UAUACCACAAGAGCUGUCAUACCCUAUUCCUCUCCUAACAUGCUCUACAUUAGUCAAAAGCUUCUGAUUUAAAAUAAGCCAUAAGAAGAAUCUAACUAUUUGGGGUCCCUGAAAUUUCCAUUGAAGAUUCCACUGUGUAUCCUUCGGUCUCCAAUUCCUUUCCUGAAUACGCUAGUUAGCACUUUUUAGUGGGAAAAUAUCAUUUGAAGUCUUAGUUCAAAAAAUCUUAUUAGGG
rnacentral:lncRNA from 1 species